rnacentral:rRNA from 1 species
UGGGGAAUAUUGCACAAUGGAGGGAACUCUGAUGCAGCGACGCCGCGUGAUCGAAGAAGGCUUUCGAGUCGUAAAGUUCUUUUAUAUGGGAAGAUAAUGACGGUACCAUAAGAAAAAGCCCCGGCUAACUACGUGCCAGCAGCCGCGGUAAUACGUAGGGGGCUAGCGUUGUCCGGAAUCACUGGGCGUAAAGGGUUCGCAGGCGGAAAUGCAAGUCAGGUGUAAAAGGCAGUAGCUUAACUACUGUAAGCAUUUGAAACUGCAUAUCUUGAGAAGAGUAGAGGUAAGUGGAAUUUUUAGUGUAGCGGUGAAAUGCGUAGAUAUUAAAAAGAAUACCGGUGGCGAAGGCGACUUACUGGGCUCAUUCUGACGCUGAGGAACGAAAGCGUGGGUAGCAAACAGG